rnacentral:rRNA from 1 species
UACGUAGGGUGCAAGCGUUGUCCGGAAUUAUUGGGCGUAAAAGAGCUCGUAGGUGGUUUGUUACGUCUGCUGUGAAAUCCUAGGGCUUAACCCUGGGCUUGCAGUGGAUACGGGCAGACUAGAGGUAGGUAGGGGAGAAUGGAAUUCCUGGUGUAGCGGUGAAAUGCGCAGAUAUCAGGAGGAACACCGGUGGCGAAGGCGGUUCUCUGGGCCUUACCUGACACUGAGGAGCGAAAGCGUGGGGAGCGAACAGG